rnacentral:rRNA from 1 species
GACGAACGCUGGCGGCGUGCUUAACACAUGCAAGUCGAACGGAAAGGCCCUGCUUUUGUGGGGUGCUCGAGUGGCGAACGGGUGAGUACCAAGGGGUUACCAACCCUUGGAUUUGGGGCAAUCUUCAGGAAAAUGGGGACAAUAAGGGAUGGGAAUUCCCGCUGAAGGGUGGGGGUUGGAAAGUUCCGGCGGUUGGGAAUGGACUCGCGGCGUAUCAGCUUGUGGUUGGGGUAGUGGUUUACCAAGGCUUGGACGGGUAGCCGGACUGAGAGGGUGACGGGCCACAUUGGGACUGAGAUACGGCCCAGACUCCUACGGGAGGCAGCAGUGGGGAAUAGUGCACAAUGGGCGGAAGCCUGAUGCAGCAACGCCGCGUGCGGGAUGACGGCCUUCGGGUUGUAAACCGCUUUCGCCUGUGACGAAGCGUGAGUGACGGUAAUGGGUAAAGAAGCACCGGCUAACUACGUG